rnacentral:rRNA from 1 species
GAUGAACGCUGGCGGCGUGCUUCACACAUGCAAGUCGAACGAAGCACUUUAUUUGAUUUCCUUCGGGACUGAUUAUUUUGUGACUGAGUGGCGGACGGGUGAGUAACGCGUGGGUAACCUGCCUUGUACAGGGGGAUAACAGUUGGAAACGGCUGCUAAUACCGCAUAAGCGCACAGCAUCGCAUGAUGCAGUGUGAAAAACUCCGGUGGUAUAAGAUGGACCCGCGUUGGAUUAGCUAGUUGGUGAGGUAACGGCCCACCAAGGCGACGAUCCAUAGCCGACCUGAGAGGGUGACCGGCCACAUUGGGACUGAGACACGGCCCAAACUCCUACGGGAGGCAGCAGUGGGGAAUAUUGCACAAUGGGCGAAAGCCUGAUGCAGCGACGCCGCGUGAGCGAAGAAGUAUUUCGGUAUGUAAAGCUCUAUCAGCAGGGAAGAUAAUGACGGUACCUGACGAAGAAGCACCGGCUAAAUACGUG